UACGUAGGGUGCGAGCGUUGUCCGGAAUUAUUGGGCGUAAAGAGCUUGUAGGUGGUUUGUCGCGUCUGCUGUGAAAACCCGAGGCUCAACCUCGGGCCUGCAGUGGGUACGGGCAGACUAGAGUGCGGUAGGGGAGAAUGGAAUUCCGGGUGUAGCGGUGGAAUGCGUAGAGAUCCGGAAGAACACCGGUGGCGAAGGCGGGUCUCUGGGCCGUAACUGACGCUGAGGAGCGAAAGCAUGGGAAGCGAACAGG
rnacentral:rRNA from 1 species